UACGUAGGGUGCAAGCGUUGUCCGGAAUUAUUGGGCGUAAAGAGCUCGUAGGCGGCUUGUCGCGUCGAAUGUGAAAACCCACGGCUCAACUGUGGGCUUGCAUUCGAUACGGGCAGACUAGAGUGCGGUAGGGGAGACUGGAAUUCCUGGUGUAGCGGUGAAAUGCGCAGAUAUCAGGAGGAACACCGGUGGCGAAGGCGGGUCUCUGGGCCGUAACUGACGCUGAGGAGCGAAAGCGUGGGGAGCGAACAGG
rnacentral:rRNA from 1 species